rnacentral:miRNA from 1 species
CAAUGUUUCUGCAGUGCAGUU